rnacentral:tRNA from 1 species
AAGAUAUUAGUAAAAUAAAUUACAUCACUUUGUCAAGGUGAAAUUGCAGGUUAAACUCCUGUGUAUCUUU